GGUUCCCUGACCGAACGGCCAGGUGCUGGCCUGCAAAGCCAAUCAAGCGGGUUCGACUCCCGCGGGAACCU
rnacentral:tRNA from 1 species